AGGAUCCCAUUCUCUCACCUAAUUCACAAAAUUAGAAUGAUGAAAAGAUUAGCAUGGCCCCUGCUCAAGAAGGACAUACAAAUUUCUGAAGUAUUCCAUGCCUUU